rnacentral:rRNA from 1 species
UGGGGAAUAUUGCACAAUGGGCGCAAGCCUGAUGCAGCCAUGCCGCGUGUGUGAAGAAGGCCUUCGGGUUGUAAAGCACUUUCAGCGAGGAGGAAGGGUAGUGUGUUAAUAGCACAUUGCAUUGACGUUACUCGCAGAAGAAGCACCGGCUAACUCCGUGCCAGCAGCCGCAGUAAUACGGAGGGUGCAAGCGUUAAUCGGAAUUACUGGGCGUAAAGCGCACGCAGGCGGUUUGUUAAGUCAGAUGUGAAAUCCCCGCGCUUAACGUGGGAACUGCAUUUGAAACUGGCAAGCUAGAGUCUUGUAGAGGGGGGUAGAAUUCCAGGUGUAGCGGUGAAAUGCGUAGAGAUCUGGAGGAAUACCGGUGGCGAAGGCGGCCCCCUGGACAAAGACUGACGCUCAGGUGCGAAAGCGUGGGGAGCAAACA